CACCUGAGCAAUUAAUGGAUAUUCAGCGGAGACAAGCAUAUGGCAUGAUAAUAGAAAAGAGGCGAAAUAGACUUUAAGUGUUUUUUUACCAAUACAAUUGGGGAGAAAUAGAUAAGCUAUUGGAAUAAGAGCCAAAAGUUGGCUAAAAUAUGAUACCUGAAGAAGCUGUUCCAGCAAAAACUGCUUGCAUGUAUUGUUUUGGUAGAUUUCCCGAAGAUCCUAUCAGACUUCCCCCUAUUAAGCCAUCAGCCAAACCACAGAAUAUGACUGCGGCAACUACUAAAUUGAAGUCAGUAGCUGAUCUCACUCUCGAUUGCUUGCUGAACCAAGCCCAGUCUAUAAUCGGACUUGCCAUUAUAGAGAGAAUAAACAUGGAAAAUCCAAUGUUCAUCCGCAAUCUGAAGGUCAGUUUUUUGCUCAGAUUACUACCCCAACUUAUCAUCACCACUAAGACCAGAACAGAUGAAGUCAUGUAAGCUACUGAGAAAACCUUUUCUACAUGUCUGGUUGAAUAAAUAGAGCCAAAAUAAUCGAUAGCAGUAAUCAAAGCAUUCCAUGGAAUUAAAUUUCCUGCACCAAGCCUAUAAGGUGCCACUAAGAUUUUGCUUUCUCCAUUCAUUUCAGAUUGUGCCAUUAUAAAGCUAAGGAAUCUUCGGUUACGGACGGAGCAGAAUCAAAGCAUGAGGCAUUUUGGUCCCUGUGUAGCUUGUGAAACUUAUCUCUGUCUCAUAUAUUCUGAUUUCCUUUUGAUCUUUUUUCUAUUAGUUGCUGCUGAUACCCUACUUUACAAUUUAAUUAUGCUGUUUUUUUUUGUUUUUUUCUCUUCACUUGCUGAAAAUCAAUAAUGGUUGAAAAUUCUUUUA